GAUGAACGCUGGCGGCGUGCCUAAUACAUGCAAGUCGAGCGAACGGACGAGAAGCUUGCUUCUCUGAUGUUAGCGGCGGACGGGUGAGUAACACGUGGAUAACCUACCUAUAAGACUGGGAUAACUUCGGGAAACCGGAGCUAAUACCGGAUGAUAUUUUGAACCGCAUGGUUCAAAAGUGAAAGACGGUCUUGCUGUCACUUAUAGAUGGAUCCGCGCUGCAUUAGCUAGUUGGUAAGGUAACGGCCUACCAAGGCAACGAUGCAUAGCCGACCUGAGAGGGUGAUCGGCCACACUGGAACUGAGACACGGUCCAGACUCCUACGGGAGGCAGCAGUAGGGAAUCUUCCGCAAUGGGCGAAAGCCUGACGGAGCAACGCCGCGUGAGUGAUGAAGGUCUUCGGAUCGUAAAACUCUGUUAUUAGGGAAGAACAUAUGUGUAAGUAACUGUGCACAUCUUGACGGUACCUAAUCAGAAAGCCCCGGCUAACUACGUG
rnacentral:rRNA from 1 species